GACGGUGGGGGCAAGUGUUCUUCGGAAUGACUGGGCGUAAAGGGCACGUAGGCGGUGAAUCGGGUUGAAAGUGAAAGUCACCAAAAAGUGGCGGAAUGCUCUCAAAACCAAUUCACUUGAGUGAGAAAGAGGAGAGUGGAAUUUCGUGUGUAGGGGUGAAAUCCGUAGAUCUACGAAGGAACGCCAAAAGCGAAGGCAGCUCUCUGGGUCCCUACCAACGCUGGGGUGCGAAAGCAUGGGGAGCGAACAGG
rnacentral:rRNA from 1 species